rnacentral:rRNA from 1 species
AGAGUUUGAUCCUGGCUCAGGACGAACGCUGGCGGCGUGCUUAAUGCAUGCAAGUCGAACGAAGAACCCACUAUGGGUAACCACUGUGGAAUUCUUAGUGGCGAACGGGUGAGUAACACGUGAGAAACCUGCCCCGGAGACCGGAAUAGCCCAGGGAAACCUGGAUUAAUACCGGAUACCCUCUUGCGAUCGCAUGAUCGAUUGAGGAAAUGGUCCGCCGCUCCGGGAUGGUCUCGCGCCCUAUCAGCUAGUUGGUGAGGUAACGGCUCACCAAGGCAAUGACGGGUAGCUGGUCUGAGAGGACGAUCAGCCACACUGGGACUGAGACACGGCCCAGACUCCUACGGGAGGCAGCAGCAGGGAAUUUUGCACAAUGGGCGAAAGCCUGAUGCAGCGACGCCGCGUGGGGGAUGAAUGCCUUCGGGUUGUAAACCCCUUUCAGGAGGGACGAAGCGAAAGUGACGGUACCUCCAGAAGAAGCCCCGGCCAACUACGUGCCAGCAGCCGCGGUAAUACGUAGGGGGCGAGCGUUGUCCGGAUUUAUUGGGCGUAAAGAGCUCGUAGGCGGCUCAGCAAGUCGGCCGUGAAAACCUGAGGCUCAACCUCAGGACGCCGGUCGAAACUGCUGUGGCUAGGGUUCGGUAGAGGAGAGUGGAAUUCCCGGUGUAGCGGUGAAAUGCGCAGAUAUCGGGAGGAACA